AGCGCUACACAUGCAAGUCGAGGGGUAGUAAGUGCUUGCACUUAUGAGACCGGCGCACGGGUGCGUAACGCGUAUGCAAUCUACCUUGUACAGAGGGAUAGCCCAGAGAAAUUUGGAUUAAUACCUCAUAGUAUUAUUGAGUGGCAUCAUUUGAUAAUUAAAGUUCCAACGGUACAAGAUGAGCAUGCGUCCCAUUAGUUAGUUGGUAAGGUAACGGCUUACCAAGACUAUGAUGGGUAGGGGUCCUGAGAGGGAGAUCCCCCACACUGGUACUGAGACACGGACCAGACUCCUACGGGAGGCAGCAGUGAGGAAUAUUGGACAAUGGGCGCAAGCCUGAUCCAGCCAUGCCGCGUGCAGGAAGACGGUCCUAUGGAUUGUAAACUGCUUUUAUACAGGAAGAAACACCUCUACGUGUAGAGGCUUGACGGUACUGUAAGAAUAAGGAUCGGCUAACUCCGUGCCAGCAGCCGCGGUAAUACGGAGGAUCCAAGCGUUAUCCGGAAUCAUUGGGUUUAAAGGGUCCGUAGGCGGCCUUAUAAGUCAGUGGUGAAAUCUCCUAGCUCAACUAGGAAACUGCCAUUGAUACUGUAGGGCUUGAAUUAUUAGGAAGUAACUAGAAUAUGUAGUGUAGCGGUGAAAUGCUUAGAUAUUACAUGGAAUACCAAUUGCGAAGGCAGGUUACUACUAAUACAUUGACGCUGAUGGACGAAAGCGUGGGUAGCGAACAGGAUUAGAUACCCUGGUAGUCCACGCCGUAAACGAUGGAUACUAGCUGUUCGGAGCAAUCUGAGUGGCUAAGCGAAAGUGAUAAGUAUCCCACCUGGGGAGUACGAACGCAAGUUUGAAACUCAAAGGAAUUGACGGGGGCCCGCACAAGCGGUGGAGCAUGUGGUUUAAUUCGAUGAUACGCGAGGAACCUUACCAAGGCUUAAAUGGGAAACGACAGAUUUGGAACAGAUUUUUCUUCGGACGUUUUUCAAGGUGCUGCAUGGUCGUCAGCUCGUGCCGUGAGGUCAGGUAGUCCUAUACGAGCGCACCCUGUCGCAGCAGUCUGUGUAACACUGCCAGUGUAACUGUGGAAAGGAAGACACACCACGCUAAGGAAUAUCGA
rnacentral:rRNA from 1 species